CCUAACCGUUAGAUUAGACGUUAGCAACAUGUCCCCCUAUUUACUUGGCUUGUUGCUAAUUGCACUUUCGAUUCUAGCAAUCGACUCAGCUCCAGGGUCAUAUGGAAAUAAAAGAAUCACAGUCGCAAAUCGAAAUAAUGGAAGAUAUCAGACUAGGCGGUUAUUUAACCCUCAAAUAGCUCCCACUGUUAAGGUAAAACGUGAACCCGACUCACAACUUUCUACCACAACACUGAAGUCACUCGCUGGUUAGCUAAUAAUUGUAUAUUAGAACUAUUAAAUUGUAAAAUGCUUAAAUAUAUUUUUCGGAUUGAAUUGAAAUCAAA